GUGCUCACUUUCGGCAGCACAUACACUAAAAUUGGAACAAUACAGAGAUUAGCAUGGCCCCUGCAUAAGGGUAACAUGCAAAUUUGUGAAGCAUUCCACAUUUUU
ensembl:snRNA U6 U6 spliceosomal RNA